CGUCACGAGUACUGGCGCGAAGCCCCGGCUGGCCAGUCGGCAACCCUCCUCCGCGGCGGGGUGCCCCGGGUGAGGACACGGCCGACUGCGACCGCAGCCGGCAAGCGCGGACU
rfam:Nocardioides sp. JS614, complete genome.